UACGGGGGGAGCAAGCGUUGUUCGGAUUUACUGGGCGUAAAGGGCGCGUAGGCGGCCACUGCAAGUCAGUUGUGAAAUCUCCGGGCUUAACCCGGAAAGGUCAACUGAUACUGCAGGGCUAGAGUGCAGAAGGGGCAACUGGAAUUCUCGGUGUAGCGGUGAAAUGCGUAGAUAUCGAGAGGAACACCUGCGGCGAAGGCGGGUUGCUGGGCUGACACUGACGCUGAUGCGCGAAAGCUAGGGGAGCGAACGGG
rnacentral:rRNA from 1 species